GCUUACGGCCACACCUCCCUGAGCACGCCCGAUCUCGUUGAUCUCGGAAGCUAAGCAGGGUCGGGCCAGGUUAGUACUUGAUGGGAGACCGCCUGGGAAUACAGGUGCUGUAAGGC
rnacentral:rRNA from 1 species